rnacentral:rRNA from 1 species
GAUGAACGCUGGCGGCGUGCCUAAUACAUGCAAGUCGAGCGAACAGACGAGGAGCUUGCUCCUCUGACGUUAGCGGCGGACGUGUGAGUAACACGUGGAUCCCCUACCUAUAAGACUGGGAUAACUUCGGGAAACGGGAGCUAAUACCGGAUAAUAUAUUGAACCGCAUGGUUCAAUAGUGAAAGUCGGUUUUGCUGUCACUUAUCGAUGGAUCCGCGCCGGAUUAGCUAGUUGGUAAGGUAAAGGCUUAUCACGGCGACUAGGCGUAGCCGACCGGAGAGGGUGGUCGGCGACACGGGAGCGUGGACACGGUCCAGGGUCCUGCGGGAGGCAGCAGUAGGGUAUCGUCCGCAGUGGGCGAAAGCCUGACGGAGCAACGCCGCGUGAGUGAUGAAGGUCUUCGGAUCGUAAAACUCGGUUAUUGGGGAAGAACAAAUGUGUAAGGAACUAUGCACGUCGUGACGGUACCUAAUCAGAAAGCCACGGCUAACUACGUG